AUUAGGAUUUCUGGGUGGCUGCCCGUCACCCAGUCAGGAGUCUGGCCGCUGGCUGAUUGUAAUUUCCUUCCUUGUUUUUAAGGUUGGCUGAAGGUCACUGAGGAACACUUCCUUUUCUGUCUGUCCUGUCUCCUCUCCUGUCUCACUUCUGCAGUGCAGCCCUAUGCUGCACUUUGUGCUCUUUAUUUAUUAUAUUCAUUGAUCAGCAAGACACCGUGUGAAAAAGGAUGUCUCCUUUACCUCAGAAAAAAACCUUCCUCCCUUCCACCAUGGCCCUGUCAUCCAGUGUGCAAUAGCUCGGGUGGCCCUCCACACUGCACUGGGACUUCAGGGACUAAUCACAGAUAGCUGCCCAUCCUAUUUCCAGUUCUCACAGUGACAUUCACCUCAGGGGAGGGCUCGGCAAGGUUGUAGACAAGAGAGGUCUGCAUUUUCCACAGAACUUCUCUCCCCUCGCCGCUGCUGCAGGUCAGACAAGGUGACGGCUCUCUGCUGACUGUGAUUCAUGGGUGUGCUAGGCAGCAUUUAAUGAGAGAGUAACUCAACCCUUUUAUCACACCGAGUGCUGAAAUAACAAAUGAGCAACAGAGGAAAGAAGGCUGUGGGUUUAGGACUGAUCUGGUUAGUGUUUAAUGGUUUGCUUUAUAAUGGUGGUUAAAUGUAUUUUUCGUUAUUUGCAGAGCAUUAUUUAAGUUGUUUCUGUGUGAGCAGAUGUCCUUGCCUAUGGCCUUGCAGAUCAAUAAAGUAAAAAGCCAGAACAAACACUGGACAUCACAAACAGAGUAUCUGUGUGUGUACAGUGUGUGUGUGGAUCUUUCAGCGCCACUAAUGUGAUUAAAAGAGGGAGAGAAAAAGAGAGUGAAUUACCUAAAGUAAUGCCAACUUCAACGUUAAAAUGCAAAGUAAUUGAUUAACCCUAUUAACCUUACUUUUACUUGUUCCUCAAAUGGUAAUUUUCCCUUUAGCUUGAGCCACUUUUUAUGGGAGUGAUUGUACCUUUACUUGGGUAUGGAUUUUUUUCACUACAUGUUAUGGACUAAAUGAUGAUUUGAUUACUGCAGUAAAAUUAUGGGCAGAUUAAUGAAUAAUAAAGAUAAGUAGCAGCCCUUCUGCCGACCCUCUGAGAGUGGGAACAGUAACAAAAGCCUUACUUCUCCUCCACCUUUGAAGAGCGUCAAAACUGGCCGUUAGAGGAGGUGAGGUGGGGCCCAUUCAUAAAUUUGACUUGAACAAAUACUGAUAAACAUGUGUCUCUGAGUUUGGAUGGAACUACAGUAGACAGAAACAGAGAGUGUUGCACCACUUUAUGUGACCACCUCUAGGUGUCAUUUGAAGCAUCCCAACCUUUUGUCUUGAGACGACUUAAAAGGAUUAAAUGUCUACUUGCUGCUGAUCCUCAUC
rnacentral:lncRNA from 1 species